AUCAUUGUCGAAAUCAGGCAUUAGCUGUACAUCUGGGAGCGGAGCAGUCACCGCUGUCAGUGAGAUAAAUGUCUGGUUUGGUGAGGGAUCUGCUCAUGGCCCACCUGGCUCCAGUUUGCAGAGGAAUCAUCCAGGAGCCCUCGCUAUAUGAGAAUAUGCAGAAGUGGCCGUGAGCAGUCUGGACAUCCUUUUAAGGAGACAUGAAUAUUCCUCAUCUUUCUGCCUUUUGCAUAACUGCCUGUGAGUAAGAGUACCAAGGAAAAAGUCACACGUCAGAGUCUACUGCCCUCAUGCGAUGGAAAGUGAGUGAGAGCAGCGAACCUGUGAGCAUUGUUCAUACCAGGCAAGAGCCGUCCAUCUGGGAGUUGAGCAGAGGCCACUGUCACUGAGAUAAGUGUCUGCUUUGGUGAUUGCUCUGCUCACGGCUCAGCUCCUGGUAGGGACGCCCCAUUAGCAAGGUCUGGGUUUGUAAGAAAAGGUUCCUAACUAGUGGUUAUGAAGGAGA